rnacentral:rRNA from 1 species
CCUUACGAGUAGGGCUACACACGUGCUACAAUGGCGCAUACAGAGGGCAGCCAACUUGCGAAAGUGAGCGAAUCCCAAAAAGUGCGUCGUAGUCCGGAUUGGAGUCUGCAACUCGACUCCAUGAAGUCGGAAUCGCUAGUAAUCGUGGAUCAGAAUGCCACGGUGAAUACGUUCCCGGGCCUUGUACACACCGCCCGUCACACCAUGGGAGUGGGCUGCAAAAGAAGUAGGUAGUUUAACCUUCGGGGGGACGCUUACCACUUUGUGGUUCAUGACUGGGGUGAAGUCGUAACAAGGUAGCGCUAGGGGAACCUGGCGCUGGAUCACCUCCUUAAACGAUGAU